rnacentral:rRNA from 1 species
CAGUCGAGCGAACUGAUUAGAAGUUUGCUUCUAUGACGUUAGCGGCGGACGGGUGAGUAACACGUGGGCAACCUGCCUGUAAGACUGGGAUAACUUCGGGAAACCGAAGCUAAUACCGGAUAGGAUCUUCUCCUUCAUGGGAGAUGAUUGAAAGAUGGUUUCGGCUAUCACUUACAGAUGGGCCCGCGGUGCAUUAGCUAGUUGGUGAGGUAACGGCUCACCAAGGCAACGAUGCAUAGCCGACCUGAGAGGGUGAUCGGCCACACUGGGACUGAGACACGGCCCAGACUCCUACGGGAGGCAGCAGUAGGGAAUCUUCCGCAAUGGACGAAAGUCUGACGGAGCAACGCCGCGUGAGUGAUGAAGGCUUUCGGGUCGUAAAACUCUGUUGUUAGGGAAGAACAAGUACAAGAGUAACUGCUUGUACCUUGACGGUACCUAACCAGAAAGCCACGGCUAACUACGUGCCAGCAGCCGCGGUAAUACGUAGGUGGCAAGCGUUAUCCGGAAUUAUUGGGCGUAAAGCGCGCGCAGGCGGUUUCUUAAGUCUGAUGUGAAAGCCCACGGCUCAACCGUGGAGGGUCAUUGGAAACUGGGGAACUUGAGUGCAGAAGAGAAAAGCGGAAUUCCACGUGUAGCGGUGAAAUGCGUAGAGAUGUGGAGGAACACCAGUGGCGAAGGCGGCUUUUUGGUCUGUAACUGACGCUGAGGCGCGAAAGCGUGGGGAGCAAACAGGAUUAGAUACCCUGGUAGUCCACGCCGUAAACGAUGAGUGCUAAGUGUUAGAGGGUUUCCGCCCUUUAGUGCUGCAGCUAACGCAUUAAGCACUCCGCCUGGGGAGUACGGUCGCAAGACUGA